rnacentral:rRNA from 1 species
CCUACGGGGGGCUGCAGUGGGGAAUAUUGGGCAAUGCAGGCAACUCUGACCCAGCAACGCCGCGUGAAUGAUGAAGGUCUUCGGAUUGUAAAGUUCUGUGAUGGGGGAUGAACACAAUGACGGUACCCUAAUAGCAAGCUACGGCUAACUACGUGCCAGCAGCCGCGGUAAUACGUAGGUGGCAAGCGUUAUCCGGAAUGACUGGGCGUAAAGGGUGCGUAGGUGGUUUUGUAAGUUGGCGGUGUAAUUCCGGAGCUCAACCUCGGCACUACCGCCAAAACUAUUAGACUAGAGUGCAGGAGGGGUAAGUAGAAUUCCUAGUGUAGCGGUGGAAUGCGUAGAUAUUAGGAGGAACAUCAGGAGCGAAGGCGACUAACUGGACUGUAACUGACGCUGAGGUGCGAAAGCGUGGGGAGCAAACAGGAUUAGAUACCCGGGUAGUC